rnacentral:rRNA from 1 species
UACGUAGGGGGCAAGCGUUGUCCGGAUUUAUUGGGCGUAAAGAGCGUGUAGGCGGCUUGACAGGUCUGCUGUGAAAACUCGAGGCUCAACCUCGAGACGUCGGCGGAAACCAUCUGGCUAGAGUCCGGAAGAGGAGAGUGGAAUUCCUGGUGUAGCGGUGAAAUGCGUAGAUAUCAGGAGGAACGCCAGUGGCGAAAGCGGCUCUCUGGUCUGUUACUGACGCUGAGGUGCGAAAGCUAGGGGAGCAAACGGG